rnacentral:ribozyme from 1 species
UCACAAGUUCAAGCCCACAGCAGAAGCACUCAUGGUGCAGCCCUGUCAGAUUCCAAAGAAUCUGCGAAUUCUGCU